AUCUUCAUUACAAUUAAGCAGACAUUUUGCACUUGUUCUUUUAUAUGAAUCUCUCAAAGUGAGUGAGAAAAUGCAAAAACAAGCAAAAGUCACAAUUGGGAACUUGACCUUGACCUUUGACCUUGACCUCAUUUUCUAAGUUAGGACAUAGGGGACUCAAAUAAAAACAUCCCAGGGUUAUACGGUUAUCUGUUAAUGAGUUAAAUAAACAUACCGACAAAUUCAUUUUGUAAAGGUAGAUAACUCCUAUAAAAUUUCAUCGAAUCGCUUCGAUCCAAAUACGCCAAAAAUUACUGAGGAUGUAACGAACAAUUUGUAAAAAGAAUUUUGUCGCUAUCUUUUUUUGUUACGAAGGAGAUACGCUUUGAUGAUAAACAGUGAAUAGGGAGAUAACUCUUACAAAGAAAAUGGUUCGGCUUAGCAGGGUGAAAUUUAAAAGCGCAUAAACUAUACGAUACAAUAUGAGAAAUAUCUAAGCGACAUAUUGCGAAACAAACAUUUAUCGCAAGAACAAAAGUUGGCGGAAAAAAAAUAAAAAUAAUAAUAAUAAUAAUAAUCAGAACAAAAACAAUAAGUCUUUCCACAGAAAAGUGGAAAGACUUAAUUAUAAUAAUUAAAAACCAAUUGUUCAGAGAACAAUUGAAAGUCUUUCCACAUCAAAGAAAUUUUGAUAAGAAGAUAGUUUCUUCAUACUAAUUCGAUAAAUAAUGGUUUAAUUAUAUUUUUGAGCGAUGUAAGGGAG
rnacentral:lncRNA from 1 species